CCGACCUUAGCUCAGUUGGAAGAGCGCGAGACUGUAAUUGGAUAAAUUAAUCUUGAGGUCGCCUGUUCGAGCCAGGCAGGUCGGA
rnacentral:tRNA from 2 species